GUGAAAUAUGCUUCCCAGGGGCGAGUUUAGCGCACAGGCUUAAAUAAUGAGAGCGAGAAAGGAAGUGCAGAGAGGGGCAAUCCUCCAGAGAGAGGGAAGAGAUGGACAGAGAUUAAUAAAAAGAGCAGGAGAGACUCAAAAAAAAAACAACAACAACAACAACAACAACAUUUACACAAAUGUAAAGCACUAAUUAUAUGGGAUUAGAUCAGAGUUUUGUUUGUAAUGGGAUAAAAAAACCCUGGAGAUAUUAUCUUCAUAUCAUCAUCAUCAUCAUCAUCAUCAUCAUUGCCAGUCUGUAUAUAAAUCAGAGACUGCGAGGUAGACAUGGAGCCAGAGGAAAUGAAGGAAAGAGGGGGAAAAAACAGGAAAGAAUUAGAAAAAAAUGGCAGAGAGAAAGUUCCAAGGAGAGAAAGAAUACAAUAACAGAGAUAAGAGGCAGAAAGAGAAAGGAAGACUUAGAGAAAAGAUUAAUAUUGCCUGUGUUUUUUUUGCUGUUAGUAUUUAUUGUUAAUGCUACUUUUUCUUUUCCGAUACCAAUAUUUUUUCUUUUUUAAAUAAACAGCUAGACGGCACCCUUGUUUAUUCGGUUAAACAGAGAAAUCAUGUACAUGGUAAAUCUAACAAAUAUAAUAAAGCGUAAAUAUAAUGAAAUCAAUCCGAAAAUAAAAAUGAAAAAAAAAAAAACAAAAAAAACAAUAUACACUUACGUUUUCUUUCCAAAUUCCUCUUUAACAAAUUGAAUUUGUUCGUUUUUCUUUCCUUUCAAUAUCCGAUCCGCUAUUUUUUGCUAGUAUCGGGUCAAUACUGAUCCCGGGUAUGGGGUGAGUAACAUCUCUAGUCACUACUGUGUUAUUGUUGUUGUUAGCGUUGUUAAUAGUGAUAUUUUGUUAUUUUUGCUGUUAUAGUUGCACUGUGAAUAGAGAAAGAGAAGAGACAGAGAGGGAAAGAAAAAGAGACAGAGAGAGAAAGAGACAGAAAGAGAAAGAGACAGAAAGAGAAAGAGACAGAGGUGCUGUUUUGCUCAUCACUACUGAUUGUUGUUAUUUUCUGUACUGAAACAGUUAUUUCUCGUUUUUGUUGUUCUCACACAGUUUAGGGAGUUGUGCUAAUAAUGUACUCCACACCGCCCCGUCAAUAAAAGAGCUUUAUUAAACACAAACAGAGACGUCACUAGAAAAAAAAAAAGAACCUGAGCGAGGAAAGAAGAUGAGUUUAGAAACUACGGACGUUUGAAACGAGGCAUGGAACCGCGAGGAAAAGAAUAAAAACAACACAUGAUGAGAGAAGAGGAUUGAAAAGCACAGAGAGAAAGAGAGAGAGAGAGAGAAGAAGAGAGAGAGAAAGAGUCAGGACUGUAGCUGAGGGAAGUGGCCACUUCAGGGUGGGUAAAGAAGGGUGUGGUGAAGGCUGUAAACCCCUCUGGACCAAGAUACUCUCCUGUGUGUGAGAAAGAGAAAAAGAGCAAGAGAGAGAGAGAGAGAGAGAGAGAGAGAGAGAAAAGGAAGUAGUUUGGCUCCACACUGCUGGCUAAUUUGCUCUCUGUGUAACAUGGAUGCCCUUUUAUGUGUGGUUUCUUUCAUUCUCUCUCUCUCUCUCUCUCGCUCUCUCUUACGCACACACGCACACACACAAACACAAGUGUUCUCAGGGGGGUUUAGUCUCAGUAACGGGUAGAGCUGCCAUCUAAGUGAUGUGUAUGCAACAUUAAAUAUCUAUGCAGGUCCAUGGGCUGUGUCUCUGAACUGCUCUUGUGUAAACUGCAUUAGUAAUGAAAACAGCUCCACUGCGUAAUUACCAACCUAAUAUUUACUCAUCUUUUAACACACAAACAAAACGCAAGCCUUUCUGCCAGAACGCCACUGCUUCGCUCUAAAGAACACUUCUACUACAACCACAGUAGAGCUGCAUCAACUACCCGAUAAAAUCGAUAAUAAUCGAUGAUGAAAAUCGUUGUCAAGGAAUCUCAUUAUGGAUUAGUUGGUCAGCACGCGGCAUGGGGGAGAUUUACUCAUUACAUUACUUCUCUUCCGAACACACCUCAGAGAGUAAAUACUAAAGUUGUGUCACAAAUGAAGUACUGUACACUUACACUAUGCACUCUAUCCUACCGUCCAGCGUGUGGGUUUUAGAACGGUAAUAUCAUCUCAAAUGGAACACUAGCGGGGUUUUUUUUUACUAACCGGAAGUAUAUGCCGCUUCCUACACGACGUCAUAGCAUGUAAUGCGACAGCGCUAGCUUUAGCCUAAUACCCAGAAUCACCGUACAUGACUUUCUUUUCUCUCAAUGACCAUCAGAUGGGACGGAGGCGAAAUCGUCAAGUGACUGAGGAAGAAAAUGUGAGACCUCCACGUCCUCUAAGGAAGUGGAGCAUUUUAUAUUAAACACCGCCGAGAAGAUUUAUAAAAUUUAUAAAGCGGAGUUUGUGUAGCACGAGCACGACAGUGAUGCGGUCACGAGAUGCUUAAAUGCUGUACCAGUGUAGCUUAUGUUUUUAUUAUUAAUUUAGGACUGUAGUUUAAUUCAGUGCUUUUUGUGCAUCCAUAAA
ensembl:lncRNA